ensembl:lncRNA
CAUGCACACACACAAUUACGUGUCCGAAGUGGGAUCAAGGAAGGGUGAGGACGGGAGGAAAGAUUAUGACGGGGAACUCUAAUUCAGAUGGGAGUGUGGGGUCCCAGAGAGCCCCUCCAAGUAAAGCAAUGAUAAUCUGAGAUCUGAAGGAACAGGGGGACCCGUCAGGUGAAGGAUGGGGUCAGAGAUUCCAGGCAGGGAGACAGAUGUGGAAAGGCCGAGGCAGCAGCAAGCUGGCUGAGUUCAAGGGUCUGAAGGGGGACUGAGAGCGGAGGAGACUGGAGGGAGAUUGGCUGGCAAGGAGGUGCAGGGCAGCCACGUAGGGCUGCGAGGUCACGGAGGGUGUGCUGAGGAUGCUACAAUGAGAGCAGCGGGAAGCCGCCCGCGAGGGUUCGAGCAGGGGAGCGCCAGGGUCUCGUUUGCUUGGAUUUAGCAGAUGCCCCUGGCUGGGGGGGAAGGGACUGAGUGGGGGCCAGGAGCAGGAAGAGCAGGAGGAGACAGCUGUGACUGUCCAGGUGAGAGAGGGCUCAGGCCAGGGCCUCUCGGAGGAGCUGGGCAUAAACAGGAGGAUUUGGAGGCAGGACCUGGUGCUGGACAGACAUGAAGGGGCAGGGAGGGAGGCCCCAGAGGCAUUCUUGUCAGGGAGAACAGUGCGGUGGCUGGAGGGGCCAUUUCCGGAACCGGGAGAAGCUGGGAGUUGCUGAGGACCAAAUUGGCUCGAGGUCUGUGGUCGCGGUGCCUGGAAGCCUAGGGAAGUUAUGGCUUUGGAAGUUGUAUCAGUCUGGGUUCUCCAGAGGAACAGAGCCAGUAGGAUGGAUGGAGGAUGGAAGGACGGAUAAUGGACAGACGAUGGAUGGUAGAUGGAUGACAGAAGGACAGAAGGAAGAAUGAAUGGAAGGAUGGACGGACAGAGAGGGAGGUAGGUAGGUGAGUGGGUGGGUGGGUAGAUAGGGUUUAUUUUAAGGAAUCGGCUUAUGGGAUUGCGGGGUCUGUCAAGUCUGACAUCUGUAGGGCAGGGGCCAGGCUGGAGGCUCAGGCAGGAGCUGACACUGCCAUCUUGAGGCAGACUUCCUUCUCUGGGAAAACUCAUUUUUGGUCUUAAGGCCUUUAAAGGACUGGAUGAGGCCCCCACGUUAGAAGGUAACCUGCCCUACUCAAGUCAACUGAUAACGGACGCUCACCACAUCCAGAAAGGACCUCAGAGCAACAUUGAGACAGCGUUUGUUGAUUGCCUGGGGACUGCAGCCUGGCCGAGUUGACACAUGAAGCUGACCAUGGCAGAAGUGGUCAGCACAGAAGUGGCUUCCUCACUGUGAGGGUGUCGGUUUACCCGGGAAGGGGGACAGCUCCACAGAGAGGAUCCCAAGACCCCCGAAGACGGGAUCAGGGAGGGAGAAGCCAAUGAAGGCACUGGGAGAGGUCCGAGCAGGAGACGGGGGAGGCUCAGGAAGGUGGUUCACGUGGGACCUGCGGAGACAGCGAAUCGGCUAAAUGCAGAGGAUCAUCCGCUGGACAGAGUCACACAGCGGGUCUCAAGGUGUGACCAGCAGCCGUGGGCGGGGGUGGGAGGCAGCAGGCCUAACUGAAUGCUUCUGAGUGAACGAGAGGCAAGGUCACACAGACAGCCAGCGUAGACUCUUCUUUCAAGAAACAUGACUGAGAAGGUCUUGGGGUGAAGGGCAGGGUUAGUCUUGGGGGCACUGUUUUGUUUUUAACGUGGAGAUGCUAGAACAUGCAUCUUCUAGCUUCCCCCGGCCGGUGGUGUUGGCAUUACCAUUGACCCACGCAGUCCUGCUCUCUGCUCCCAGCAGCUUGGUCACAGCCCCAGCAAGGGAUUCCCGUGGAGACUGCCGUGUGCUAGUCAUCAGAGGGACCCGGCCCUCCGCAGCCAGCCUCUCCUCACCCGCUGACUUCUGCACGUCGCUUAGCCUUAGUCAGUCUAAGGUCCCUCGUCCAUAAAACCAGGUGGUACUCACUGGCAGGUCCUCAAAGCCACGCUGGGACAAGAGGCGCCAUGGGAAAAGCACCUGGUAAAUUAGGAAGGCGGGGCUCAUGAUUAAUCUUCCUCAAAGUGCAUCCCUUUACCACACAGCUUCAGGGAGCGCACUUCUCGUGCGGGACCUCUCCCCACCCCAGGAGACGCAACUGUGCACACACGCAAAGCGGGUCCAUAAAGUGUUCAGGGGUGACAGCUGCCUGGCCUUGACGGGCCUGGGCGUCUGGUGGCCACAGGGGACCAGAGGCUUGGAACCACGGCAUGGGGCUUCAGACAGGACCCUUCCAUCCGCCCAGGACAAGAGCUGGUCUCACUGUCAGGGGCGACUGCCUCUGAGUGCACUGUGGGGCUGGGUGCCCACAUUGUCAUGGACAAGUGGGGACAUGGGGAAUUGGGGUCAGGUGGCUGGGAGAGUCCAGUGGAUUCCAGCCGGCUGGGGACCUGGUUCCCUGUGUGACCCUGUCUCUCUGGGCCUCCGUUUUCUUCUCUCCACCCGGGAGCCCCAGGACCUACAGCUUUCCUCCCAGGCCCUGGGGAGGUGGGGAUACUGGGUUGAAUUGCGCCCCUAAAAGAAUACGCUCAAGUCCCAACCCCCGGACCCGUGAAGGUGACCUGAAUGGGAAACGGGGUCUUCUUAGAGGUAACCAGUUGAGAUGAGGUCAUGCUGGAGUGGGACGGGCCCUAAAUCCAAGGACUGGUGUCCUGAUGAGAGAGGAGAGAGACACAGGGAGGAGCAUUCACGUGACCACAGUGACAGGGUUUGGAGUGAAGCAGCCACGGGUCCAGGAACACCAAGACCGGCUGGGAGCCCCCAGAAGCUGGGAGAGAGACAAGGCAGGGUCCCCCUAGGUACUCGGGGUGCCCCGCCCUGCCAGCACUUUAAUUCCAGAUGUCUGGCCUCCAAAACAGCAGGAGAACAAAUUUCUGACGUUUAAGCCCCCAGUUUGUGGUACUUUGCUAUGCGGCCCCAGGACCCUAUUCCACCUGCAUGCUCUUGUCGCUCCUCGAGGGCUCAGACCAGCUCUUCUUCAUCUCUUGUUUCCCACGGGGCCUGGUAUACAGUAGGUGCUCAAUAAAUGAAUCACUCCACCUCCCAGCCUGCUCUUCUCCCUUGCUGUCUAUUUCUCUCACAUCCUCCUGGCUCUCCUUGUCUGCUUCUGCUGCACAGGCACAAAAUUUAAUCAGAGGAAAGGCUUUCUGGUCACGAGCCAAAAGUCCGCGUCUUACACAGAGCAAGCCCCUUCCAAAGUCGGGCCUGUGCGUUCUGCGGGUGAGGUUCUCCAUCUCCUGUAAUGAACCAUCUCUCGGGAAUUUUCUGUGAUGGCAAAACGUUGCCAAGUCUGCAGACCACUUAGAGGCAACGGGGUAGCUGAGAUUACGGAACAGGCGCGGCUGCUACACAGGACCCACGCGCGUCCAGCCUGGGCCAGCCCAGUCGCCCUUCCCAUCUGCCUGGGGAGCUCAAGUGCGCUGCCAGGGUGUGGCGGUGAGGCUGGCUCUGAAUCAGCGAAUCACCCAGGUGUGUGGACCUGCACUGGAGAGCGCGAGGCUCUGGGAUGUGAGUCUCAUGUUAUUUUUACGCCUGGUUUCAUAUGGCAUAGUUUUAAAUUAUUGAGUAGUUGGAAAGAUCUCACAAUGAAAUCAUAUUUCAUUUGUUUCUCCAUUUGGCUGUGAAAGAAAUCAAUUCCCAGGCUGUAUUUGGAGGUGAAGGAAGGACAAAGAAACCUGCAGCUUUGGUGAGAGGAUGCCUGGAGGUGCCCAGGGGUCACCCAGGGCCUCUGGAUGUGUCUGCUGCCACGGGCCACAGCGUGCCUGCGACUGCGGGCUUCUGCACGCUGGGUUUUCAGGGCGACACCUUUCUAGAUCAGGUCCCAGGUGAGCCCAGCCACACUGUGCACUCUCUGUAGUAGAAGCAAUUUCUAGGACAACUGAGCGGUCCCAGGGUGAGGUCAGGAAUGUUGGGAAGGGGCUCAAGGGUCUGACCUUCUUCCUUUUGGUUUUCUGAGUGAGAAGGGUCAAAGGGAACAUUGGCGGGGUGCACGCUGACCCCACAGUUCAGGGGCUACUCUCCUCUGCGCUGGAGACCCUGAGAUGCACUGGAGACCUUAGAAUGCACUGGAGAUGCCAGGAUGCCAAGGAGACCCCAGGAUGCCCUGGAGACCCUAGGAAGCGCUGGAGGCCCCAGGAUGCCCUGGAGACCCUAGGAUGCGCUGGAGGCCCCAGGAUGCCCUGGAGACCCUGGGAUUUGCUGGAGACCCCGAGAUGUGCUGGAGGCCCCUUGAUGAGCUGGAUCUAGCCUUGCCUGGGAGGGCUGACAUCUGCUGAGGGAGCCAGGCAAGAGACAAAUGGAGAGAGUAUAGAGUGAUGUGGCAGUGACAGUCAAGGCCUUGGGAGCAAAGGUGGUGCCCGGCUGAGCUGAGGGGUUGGAGCGGGGGCUUCUCCAAGGAGGGACUCUGGAGUGGAGUCCUGAGGUGGAGGCUGAGCUAUCCAGGUUUGGGGGGCGGGGGCAGAGGGCCCAGCAGGGUUUGGAUCUAGUGGGGUGGGUUCCUCUGAGCUGUGCUCCUCAUUCUCGGCUCAGCCCUCAGCCUCCUCACUUGGCCUCCCCGUGCCCCCAGGAGGUGACGACAGAUCCAGGAGGGCCAUUGUGCCAAAGCCCAUGGGCUCUCCCUGCAGAAGGGCCUGGGGGCGCCUGUGGCUCUUCCUCUGGGGCGUAGAUUGCGUUUGGGUAAGCUGAUGCCUUAAUUUCCCAUCUGUACAAUGGGGAUGAUGAUGACGAUGAUAAUCAUAAUGAUAAUAACAGAGGGUGCUCUGGCACAGGGCGGCCCCAGGACACGGCAGCCCUGGAGGUGCCUGCUUGCCUCACCUGGCUUGGCCCUGGCCGUGCAUCCUCCUCGGGAGCAGUUCCACGCUUGCCCUUGGCUCCCUCCACUGGAACGUGAGGGCAGCCCCACUGGGGGUUAGCCUAACCCCCCAUCCAGGCUCUUCUGCCCCAGAUGAGCAGGCCCCUGACACCUGGGUCGCUGGUCCCUCCCCCUCCCAGCUCCUCCUGCGCCAGCCUCAAGAAACCUGACAUAAAUCCCCGCCUGAGCCAGAACGUGAGGGGUCGGCACGGGGCCCGCCCCUGCCCUCCCGGUCCCACCGCACCGUUCAACACUUCCCAAGGCCUUCAUGCCCCCACAACGGCAAGAGACAUUUUUAGGACAAAUGACCCUAAUUUUGAAGCAAUUUGCAGGCCCACAGAGCAGUGACAGGGGCUUGUCCUUGUCACGGGGGCAUUUAUCACAAGAAGAGUCUUUCCCUGCAGGUCACUGGACUCAUUUCUUAGGACUCCUCACCUGGUGCAGCCCCCACGGGAAAAAUAGCCCCAGAGACCCACCAUGAACGGCGGUGCAUUUAACCUGAGCAGGUGGGUAUAUACUUAGCACACGUUUGCGAAAGCUCAUAUUUCCAUUUAUUUCCUUUUUUGUGUUUUAUGAUCACCUCUGAGUUACCAGGAAAGGAGCCCCACAUGUACACCUCGGUGCCCACGGGAGAGCAGAGCGCAGCUGAGGAAGACAGACCCUGGAACCAAGCUGGCCACGGGUCUGGAUCUGCCUCCCCAUCCUCCGCUCCCUCCAUCACUGGAACAACCCACAUCCCAUAACAAGUGCUGAGGACACUUAGAAGAGGUGUGGCCCGGGCAGGAGGACGAUGGUGGGAGGCAGCAAGGGCCGCCCCUCCCCGCCUCCUGCUCCUCCUCCUGCACCUGGACCAGCCAGCCAGCUCUCCUGAACGCACUCUUAACAAACACUGAAAGGAUCUUGGUUUGACUGUUAGCCUGUCUGGGGCCUCCUUGUGUCAAGGGGCUCCUCGAAGGCCCUCUGACACCCCCUCCCCCAGGGUCUGCUCGAAAAGCAGGUGGCAGCAUUUUCUACAAUGGAUCCUGUGACUCG